rnacentral:rRNA from 1 species
CGAUUUAGCCUGCUAGUUGCGCGAGUUCAGACUCGCAGCAGAUAGCUCAGUAACACGUGGUCAAUUUACCCUGCAGACACGGACAACCUCGGGAAACUGAGGCUCCAUCCGCGAUACCGAUCCCACGCUGGAAUGCCGGGAUCCACAAACGCUCCGGCGCUGCAGGAUGCGGCUGCGGCCGAUUAGGUAGACGGUGGGGUAACGGCCCACCGUGCCGAUAAUCGGUACGGGUUGUGAGAGCAAGAGCCCGGAGACGGAAUCUGAGACAAGAUUCCGGGCCCUACGGGGCGCAGCAGGCGCGAAACCUUUACACUGCACGCAAGUGCGAUAAGGGGACUCCGAGUGCGAGGGCAUAUAGUCCUCGCUUUUGAGAACCGUAAGGUGGUUCUCGAAUAAGAGCUGGGCAAGACCGGUGCCAGCCGCCGCGGUAAUACCGGCAGCUCAAGUGAUGGCCAAUCUUAUUGGGCCUAAAGCGUCCGUAGCUGGCCGUGAAAGUUCGUCGGGAAAUCCAUCCGCUCAACGGAUGGGCGUCCGGCGAAAACUUCACGGCUUGGGACCGGAAGGCUCGAGGGGUACGUCCGGGGUAGGAGUGAAAUCCUGUAAUCCUGGACGGACCGCCGAUGGCGAAAGCACCUCGAGAAGACGGAUCCGACAGUGAGGGACGAAAGCUAGGGUCUCGAACCGGAUUAGAUACCCGGGUAGUCCUAGCCGUAAACGAUGUUCACUAGGUGUGGCACAGGCUACGAGCCUGUGCUGUGCCGUAGGGAAGCCGAGAAGUGAACCGCCUGGGGAAGUACGUCCGCAAGGAUGAAACUUAAAGGAAUUGGCGGGGGGAGCACUACAACCG